rnacentral:tRNA from 1 species
GCAGCAGUGCGAUAAUGGUAGUCGGCCCGCCUGGAACGCGGGUAUCCUGCAAAGGAUUGGAGGUUCAAGUCCUCUCUGCUGCGCCA